AUUGAACGCUGGCGGCAUGCUUUACACAUGCAAGUCGAACGGUAACAGGUUAAGCUGACGAGUGGCGAACGGGUGAGUAAUGCAUCGGAACGUGCCCGAUCGUGGGGGAUAACACUUCGAAAGAAGUGCUAAUACCGCAUACGAUCUGAGGAUGAAAGCGGGGGACCAUAAGGCCUCGCGCGAUCGGAGCGGCCGAUGUCAGAUUAGGUAGUUGGUGGGGUAAAGGCUCACCAAGCCGACGAUCUGUAGCUGGUCUGAGAGGACGACCAGCCACACUGGGACUGAGACACGGCCCAGACUCCUACGGGAGGCAGCAGUGGGGAAUUUUGGACAAUGGGCGCAAGCCUGAUCCAGCAAUGCCGCGUGCAGGAAGAAGGCCUUCGGGUUGUAAACUGCUUUUGUACGGAGCGAAAAGGCUCCCUCUAAUACAGGGGGCUUAUGACGGUACCGUAAGGAUAAGCACCGGCUAACUACGUGCCAGCAGCCGCCGCCGUAA
rnacentral:rRNA from 1 species